UACAGAGGUCUCAAGCGUUGUUCGGAUUCAUUGGGCGUAAAGGGUGCGUAGGUGGCGCUGUAAGUCGGGUGUGAAAUUUCGGAGCUUAACUCCGAAACUGCAUUCGAUACUGCGGUGCUUGAGGACCGGAGAGGAGACUGGAAUUCAUGGUGUAGCAGUGAAAUGCGUAGAGAUCAUGAGGAAGACCAGUGGCGAAGGCGGGUCUCUGGACAGUUCCUGACACUGAGGCACGAAGGCCAGGGGAGCAAACGGG
rnacentral:rRNA from 1 species